rnacentral:rRNA from 1 species
AUACGUAGGGAGCAAGCGUUGUCCGGAAUUACUGGGCGUAAAGGGCGCGUAGGCGGGAAUUUAAGUUAGAUGUGAAAACUCUGAGCUCAACUUGGAGACUGCAUUUAAAACUGGAUUUCUUGAGGGCAGGAGAGGAAAGUGGAAUUCCUAGUGUAGCGGUGAAAUGCGUAGAUAUUAGGAGGAACACCAGUGGCGAAGGCGACUUUCUGGACUGUACCUGACGCUGAGGCGCGAAAGCGUGGGGAGC